rnacentral:rRNA from 1 species
GACGUAGGGGGCCAGCGUUGUUCGGAAUUACUGGGCGUAAAGGGCUCGUAGGCGGCCAACUAAGUCAUACGUGAAAUCCCUCAGCUUAACUGGGGAACUGCGUGUGAUACUGGAUGGCUUGGAUUUGGGAGAGGGAUGCGGAAUUCCAGGUGUAGCGGUGAAAUGCGUAGAUAUUGGGAAGAACACCCGUGGCGAAGGCGGCUCUCUGGAACGCAACUGACGCUGAGACGCGAAAGCGUGGGGAGCAAACAGGGAU